AAUAGAUACCCGGGUAGUCCUAGCUGUAAACGAUGAGCACUGGGUUGAAGGGUCCUCCAUAGCCUUUCAGCCGCAGCGAAAGUGUUAAGUGCUCCGCCUGGGGAGUAUGGUCGCAAGGCUGAAACUCAAAGAAAUUGACGGGGGCUCACACAAGCGGUGGAGGAUGUGGCUUAAUUCGAGGCUACGCGAAGAACCUUAUCCUAGUCUUGACAUGCACGGAUUAACCCCUGGAAACAGGGGCCACGCCUUCGGGUGGAACGUGCACAGGUGCUGCAUGGCUGUCGUCAGCUCGUGCUGUGAAGUGUCGGGUUAAGUCCCUUAACGAGCGAAACCCUUGUCGCUAGUUGCCAGCGGGUCAUGCCGGGGACUCUAGCGAGACCGCCGGCGUUAAGCCGGAGGAAGGUGGGGAUGACGUCAAGUCCUCAUGGCCUUUAUGACUAGGGCUGCACACGUCCUACAAUGGUCUGCACAAAGGGACGCAAAAUCGUGAGAUCGAGCAAAUCCCAAAAACAGGCCCCAGUUCGGAUUGC
rnacentral:rRNA from 1 species